rnacentral:rRNA from 1 species
AUGGUCGUUGCGCUCUCCACCGGCUGGUUCAAGAACAUGGCCCGUUGCGGGCACCGCAUCAAGAUCAGCGCCAAUGGCAAGUCUGUGUAUGCCAAGGUGGUGGACGAGUGUGACUCCGUCUAUGGCUGCGACGAAGACCACAACUACGAGCCCCCGUGUGCUAACAACAUCGUUGACGCCUCUCCUGCGGUGUGGAAUGCCUUGGGGCUCGACCAGAACGUCGGCAUGGAGGGCAUCACCUGGUCCGAUGAGUGA